rnacentral:misc_RNA from 1 species
CUUCGUUCACCUUAUUUGUGGUAGUUGCAGAUGGUAUAUUCAAAGUCUCUGAGAGAGUAGAUUGUAGAAGAAAUUCACAGCUUUCUCCACCAGGUAAAAAGCUCUCCACAAAUUUGAGAUGGGCAUCAAAUUCUUCAGCCAGAAUGGUAACCAUCUCCAUGUUUUCAGCUACCGUUUCCACUGAUCCUAAUUGAAGAACACCAUAAGGUAUACAAGGUACCAGCAAUAUAGUCUUAAUGCCAGCGACAAACUGAAGCAUCCACUUAUCUGGACACUCAGCAACAGAACCAAACCCAAGCUCUGCAGGUGCUACACUGUCGGAAGAAAUCCAGCGGGGGAUGCCCAAAGAAGCCACUUCACCUACCACCCCUUUUCCUGCAAUGUGAUAAGUACUUGACAUCUCAGCCACGGCUAAGCCAAUUGAAUGUGCACUCAAAUAUCCAUUAUGUGAUCUUGACCCACAGUUUGGGGAUAAGUCACUCAAGUUUUUGCUAUAAUAAUUGCCAUUUUGACUUCUGUAAGGUUCUCUAGCACCCGGAACAUCCAGAUAUCCAUCUUCCCAUGUCAAAAUGAUAGGACACUGG